rnacentral:lncRNA from 1 species
UCCCUACCACCCCACACUUUGAUUUUUGUAUGUUCUUUAAUGAUUCAAGUGCUUCUAGGAGGUAUAGGUUCAAACAAUCAGCUAUUCAAACACAAGGAUAUAGGUCAUUAUAGGGUUAUUAAAGAACAUGCUUCAAGCUCAAAGGGGUUGACUAUGGAAAUAUACACAGGUGGAUUUACAAUUAUAUAUAAGCUUACACAAAGAAAUGCCCCAAUCACUCUACAACCAAACAACUUUUAUUUCGCUUUGCAAACACACAAGGCAAGUUUUAGGUAUCGCAUGCAAGCAUAGAAUGCAAGUAAAAUCUCACACAC